rnacentral:misc_RNA from 1 species
CAGAGUUUUUAACUCCCAAACCCAUGUGAACUUACCUUCUGUUGCCUCGGCGGGUUCUGCCUCUCAGGUAGUUCGCCCGCCGGUGGCCCACCAAAACUCUUGAUAUCUAAUUGAAAUCUGAGCGUUAUUUUUAAAAUAAGUCA